rnacentral:rRNA from 1 species
UACGUAGGUGGCGAGCGUUGUCCGGAUUUACUGGGCGUAAAGAGCGCGCAGGCGGCUGGUCAAGUCCGAUGUGAAAGCUCCCGGCUUAACUGGGAAAUUGCAUCGGAAACUGAUCGGCUGGAAGGUGGGAGAGGGUAGCGGAAUUCCAGGUGUAGCGGUGAAAUGCGUAGAUAUCUGGAGGAACACCGGUGGCGAAGGCGGCAUCCUGGACCAUUACUGACGCUGAUCCGCGAAAGCUAGGGGAGCAAACGGG